GCCGGGUGCGGUGGCUCACACCUGUAAUCCCAGCACUUUGGGAGGCUGAGGUGGGUGGAUCACCUGAGGUCGGGAGUUCAAGACCAGCCUGACCAACAUGGAGAAACCCCAUCUCUA
rnacentral:sRNA from 1 species